rnacentral:rRNA from 1 species
UACAGAGGUCCCAAGCGUUGUUCGGAAUCACUGGGCUUAAAGGGCGCGUAGGCGGGUGCUCAAGUCUGUGGUGAAAUCCUCCGGCUCAACCGGAGAACGGCCAUGGAUACUGGGUGUCUCGAGGGUGAUAGGGGUAUGCGGAACUAUCGGUGGAGCGGUGAAAUGCGUUGAUAUCGAUAGGAACUCCGGUGGCGAAGGCGGCAUACUGGAUCACUUCUGACGCUGAGGCGCGAAAGCCAGGGGAGCGAACGGG